UACGUAGGGUGCGAGCGUUGUCCGGAAUUAUUGGGCGUAAAGAGCUCGUAGGCGGUCUGUCGCGUCGGUCGUGAAAACUUGGGGCUUAACCCUGAGCUUGCGGUCGAUACGGGCAUGACUGGAGUUCGGCAGGGGAGACUGAAUUCCUGGUGUAGCGGUGAAAUGCGCAGAUAUCAGGAGGAACACCCGUGGCGAAGGCGGCUCUCUGGGACGGUACUGACGCUGAGACGCGAAAGCGUGGGGAGCGAACAGG
rnacentral:rRNA from 1 species